rnacentral:lncRNA from 1 species
AGCGCAGAUGCCGGCUGCCUGCAGAGCUGCCCAGAGCCCGCGGAGCCUCCCCGCCACCGCAGCUUUUCCUCCUAACUUCUUGGACUGUCCGUGAGUGGGGAGAUCCAGAGGAGGCGAGGUGGUGGCUGAAUUCCUGAGAAUGCAACUGCAGAAAAACAGGAUUAACAUCCAGAGAACUGCUACCACGAGAAUUGGUGUUAAGAAUGGAGAGCUCGCUGCCAGAGGGAUCACUCUGGGGCUGUCCUUCAGAAGAGCCAUCUCAGGAGUCCCACGCUCUCCUGCAGGACCUGUCUGCCUUCAUAGACUCUAAAGAACAAGUGAGUUCUGUAAGAUGACAGAUCCUCACCCUGCUGACCGUAGGUUCUUUGUCAUUGUUGUCAUCCUGGAGAGUGCUGGGCAUUGCUUCAUGAUUCUCUACCUGUUAAUAUGAACGGACCUAUCACGAGUAUGUGUUCAGUGUUUGCUGUAAAAAAAGUGUCUGCACAUUAGUUCUUUGAAAAUCUCAACAUCACUAUUGAUAAAUUUUUUUAAGUUGUUUUUUUCCCCAUUAACUUCUACAAAUGUGGGGCUCAAACUCCUGACGCUGAGAUCAGGAGUCACAUGCUCUUCCAACUGAGCCAGCUAGGUGCCCAUUGCUACUGUUUAAUCUAGGUUAUAAUCACUAACCACUAACUAGGAAUUCAAAAUUUCCAGUUUAUUGGGAAAUUGCCAGGUUCUUUCACAUUGAGAUUACUGUAUAAUGAAGUAAUUGUGUGCUUACUGUGUAUUUCUGUUUGAAUGUGUCUGAAAGACACAGGGCAGACCAGCAUGGGAGUUUGAACCACAAAUGGAGUUUGACCUUUCUUUUCUUCUUUUUUUUUUAUUUAUUUUUUAU